GCCCCGCCCCGCCGCGCUGUGCUUUAGCUGGGCGCGGACUCGUCAAGAGCGGCAGUGUGAGCCGCGGUGGGCGCGGGGCUGUGCGGGCUUGAGCGGUGGCGCCGGCGCCCGUGUGGAGAUCCUGCCGGACGCGGAGGUUUGCUGUAAACUACCUGUCAUAGCUAUAAUGACACCAGCCCUCAGAGAGGCAACAACAAAAGGUCAUGGUAUCCACUUGUCACCUUCUUUGUCCUCUAGAGCUAUGGAGUCUGAUACAGCUUUGUGCAUGGAAAAUUCCAGAGCAGUGGAAGAGAAGAUAAAAGAGGACUCCAUCACACAGAUUACUUGCUCAGUCCUGGGGUUCCCCACUGCUGAGCCCAACCUCAGGAAUGAUAUCUUCCGUGUGCAGCAUUUUGGUUCCCCACCAUCCUCCAAGUGCUAUCAGUCUGUCUUGUUAAUGAGUACAAAUUCUGCGUUUAGCAACAAAACUGGUAAGCAAAAGAAAGCAGGAGAGCCCGGCUGCUCCAAGAUGAGAAAAACAUUACAUAAUGGUGCUGACACAUCAUUUGGUCAGAUUAGUCAUUCAGAACCCGAGCAACAGGUCAAAGGGGCAACGUUUUCAGAGACCACAUCUCCGAACUUGGCAGGGAUGCAGAGACUUUCAGGUUCAAGUGUAAUUGAAUCCAGUAAUGCAGAAGAAAUGCAGCUUUUAAAUGGUAAAUGGUACAAGAAGAAUGGGGUUUUGGGUAGGGCUUUGGAAGUCUGCACUGAAACAAUAAAAGGGGAUUUAUUACACCAAAUUCUUCAUGGGCCUUCAGAAGGGAUUUUGACCUGCACCCAGGAGGAGGUGUAUGCUCGUUUACUCCGGUGUGUCACUAAGCAACAAAUGGAAAUCAGUCGCGCCAAACGAACUCAGAAGCGUUUACAAAUGCUCCUGGCAAAACAUGUUAUCAAACACUGUGAUCAGCAGCUGAAAUGCUUUGUGAGACAUCAGCUUCAGAGAAUGAAGGUUUUCCAUGAGCCAACUAGAUUUUUGAGCAAUAGCUCCCUCAGAUGCACUGAAGGUUGGCCAGAAAACAACACAAGUACUUCAAAGCGUAGUUCAAGUGUGGACAUACAGAACGGAGUUAGUGUUGCACCAGGUGAAAUCCGUGGGUUUGCACUUUCUACUGGAGGGCUGCUGUCUCGUGUGGAAAAGGACCUGGACUCUGAUGCAACAUGUAGCAGCUCAGAUGAAGAUGGUGAGGAACAGACUGUAAGAACAACUGUGGAAGCCAGCUAUACUUCUGAAUCGAAGUGGCUUGCAGACAGAGCUAGAAUUGGCAGCCGUUGGACAUGGCUUCAAGCCCAGAUUUCAGAACUAGAAUACAAAAUUCAACAGCUAACUGACCUUCACAGGCGAAUACGUGCCACCAAGGGGAUGGUGGUCUUAGAAGAAUUCCCGUUUCCAAAAGACAUUUUGAAGAAGCAAAUACAAUUGACAGACCAAGAAGCUUUAUUAAGCGCCACAGGGAGUUUGCAAGCUGCCAUUGAGAGACAGGAUUCUUUGCCAGAGCACGACUUUGAAAUGUCACCCAGCAGUCCUACUCUGCUUUUACGAAACAUAGAAAAACAGAGUGCACAACUAAGUGAAAUCAUCAGCAGCCUAAUUGCUCCACUCAGUCUGUCUCCAGCUUCUUCAUCUCUUUCCUCCAAGACCUGUAGACACAGACAGUUGGUCAAUGGCAUCUCCUUCAGAGCUUCAGACAACAGAGAGGUAUCCUCUUCAGGUAGCUGGUUGCUUGAUCGUCAGCACAUCAAGAAAAGAAGAAGAGACAGGACAAGACUCAGAUCUGUCUCUGUGAAUAAUGUGAGCACAUCUGCCCGAACAAGGCCACUUCAUAGUUUCCAGAAGAGGAAGCUCUACAGAAUGCAUGGUGCCUGUCACUGGAAUCAGCAGACUUUGCCAUCUAGAGAUACCUCCUUUCCGUAUAAAACUCAGUUGCCAUAUGUGGUGCCAGCCUCCACUUUCAGCAGCAGUGAGUACAGCACAGAAUCUAAAAUCCUAGAUUAUGUGCAAGAGCUGGACUCUUCCUUCCAUCCAGUUUUAUCCUUCCCUUCGGAUAUUCCUCUUCACAUAUACUUUGAAACAUUAUUAAGGAAGGAUGACAUCAAAGGAGAACCUGCUGAUACCUCAUCUUUGGGAGGGGAGUUUAAAGUAUCUGCUGACAAUGACCAAAAUCCACAUGUUUCUGUCAAACAAUGGAGCAGUGGCUGUUUGUCUAAUUCCAAAUCUCAGUUGGUGUUAGGAACACCUGACCAGCUGUCAGAAGGAAGAAAGAAAAGGCAUCUAAGUGAGACAGCAGUAGGUGAAAGUAGCACUCAGUUUGAGACAUUCUCCUUCCACCAUGCAGAGCCUGAGUCCCACAACAGUUUUGCUUCCACGAGCAGUGUCAGUGCCAUGUCUCGGCCCACUCAUAGCACUUCAUCACAGCACAACUCCAGGAGGAGGUUGAGAAGUGAGAGCUCCUAUGAUAUAGACAACAUUGUUAUUCCCAUGUCCCUGGUAGCACCAUCAAAGUUGGAGAAACUACAGUACAAAGAAAUCCUUACUCCAAGCUGGAGAGUUGUUAAACUUCAACCUUUAGAAAAAUCACAAACAGAUGAAGAAGAGAUAGAAGACCUGUCAGACAAAGCUUUUUCCUUGCGUCACACAAAGUACGAAGAAAGAGAGCGUGCGAGGUGGUCACUCUGGGAGCAGAGCCGCUGGCCCAGGAGGAACAGCAGAUCUUACAGCAAAAAUGCUGAUGGUCGACACAGCCAGGACUCGGUGCAGAAAGACCAUUGCGCUGCUGACCCUGCUCCUGUCCCAACUUUGGAAGCCCACAGCUCUGUAUGUUCAGGGAUGGCACCACUCUGCAGGGAGAGCCAGGAAGAGAAGUCUGGGCUGUGGGAACUUCGAGUCUUUCCACUAAAAGAUGAAGAGGUAGAAGCUUUACUGUGCCAAGAUCAAGUAACAAAUCAGACUGAAGUGUCAACUGCAGCUUUCCCCAGUGACUCUCCCUGCACUCCAGGCACACCCACUGCAUUGCCAGACAAUGGCUAUCUGCCAAGAAAACAAUCUACCCAGGAGUCAGAAGACUGCAAAAGCGUUUGCCUGGGAAGCAACAGUACAAGAAAACAAAGGUGACAGGGAAUAAUGUGGUUCAUUAAGAAAGCCAAUUAAGGUGGAGAGAAGUGUAAGGCAGGAUAAAUCCCAAAGACAACACUUUCUUCUUCCUGAACCCCAAGAGAAAGUAAUUAUUUCAAGCUGGAAGUCUAAUAUUCCCAGUGUUGGGAGUGGGAGCACAUAAAUCGCUGGCACCAUUCACUUUCUGUUGUCAUAUUGCCACAUUUGUCAAUAAUCAUCCUUUACUGUUUGUUUGUUUUUAAAUGCAUAUCUGGUUCAAGUGGACUCUGGUGCACCAGGAGAUGCUGCCUACCUUAUCCAACAACUUCAGCUGAACACAGAAAAACUACUUGAAAAUAGUGGGGAUAAGUGAUAGCUUCAGAUUAUUUUCUUGUGUGGCAUGACCAUGGGGCAAAAACCUAACUGCAUGUGUAAGGUAAGGGUAGGUGAGAACCAGCAGUUCAAACCAGAGGAUCUGGAAGCCUCGCAUCUAGCUUAAGUUGUGUAGUCGGCUCUCAGUAGUGCCAGGGCAUGUUUCAUAUUGAUGUCCUCAAGCAAUAAGGUAGAAGUAGCCCGCUGCAUUGCCAUAGUCAAUGUAUCUCACACCUGGAAAGCAGUGUCUCUGCUUCGGGCCUGUGGGGAGGGAGAGACAUGAAGAAAGAGGGGUCAGGUCAAAUCAGUGACACACCCCAUGGAAUACUGUGCUUUGGCUCAUCUUACUUCCUUAGUCCUUGGGUAGCUAAUGAGGCUCAUAAUACUUUGCUUUAAUAUGUUAAAGUCUUGUUCCAAUUUCUGUACAGUGCCUUGUAAGAGUCUAGUAAGUAUGCCAACAUUUGGUGACUAGCUGGAAAGGAAAAGAUGACUGAUGUCUUGAAGAGCAAUAAAAAAAAAGCCCCAAAGCUUUCCAUUGUGAUUCUGGAUAGAUUUUUCAUUUCCCAGUGUAUUCACAGUGAGAAAACAAAAGCAAGUUGUUUAAACUUGCACCUAAUAGCAUAGCUUGGAAUGUAUCUGCAAUCCCAAGAGGUAUUAACAGAGAUUAAACAUUGAAUGUACAUAUAAUCCAUCAACAGGCAGUUUUUCUGUGUAGGACAGUUGAAGGCAAUUUAAUAGGAGUCUCUGUUUUUUGUGCAGUUUUCUUCCAUGUGUAAUAUCUGGAAUGGCACUGGACAGAUGACCCAGCUUUAGUGUCAAUUUAUUUUUUUGGUCAAAAUGACAGGAAAUACACACAGGCCAUAUGAAAACAGUUCAGUAAAGUUUCAACACUACGACCUAUUGCUACAUUGUAGUUUAUUGCACAUUCUGAUUAUUUUUUAAAAUACUUUUUUAACACUGGUUUGUCUUAAACUUGAAUCUUGCCUCAAUGUCUGAUACAAUCUCUGAUGCAAGGUUGGUUUUUUAAUUAAAAGUUAUUUCUAUA